CACACAAGGUCUUGGUCUUAAACCCACUAUUACUUCAUCCCCUAAUUAUACAUGCAAGCCUCACCAUUACAGUGAAAUAGCCCACCACACCAUUGGCCGGAGCAGGUAUCAGGCACAAAGCCCACAACGCCAAGCAAAAUAAGCCACGCCCCCACGGGUCAACAGCAGUAGAUAAUAUUAGGCCAUAAGCGCAAGCUUGACCUAGCAAGAGGAUUUACCAAGGGCCGGUUAAUACCCGUGCCAGCGACCGCGGUUAUACGACAGACCCAAAAUAAUACUAAUCGGCGUAAAGCACGACUAACAGCAUGUCUAAAAAUUAGGGACGAAGCUAAGCUGGGCUGUAAAAAGCUAUAAGUCACACUAACCACACCCUAAUAACAAACAACUUCCACUCGUGAAAGCUAGGAAACAAACUAAGAUUAGAUACCUUACUAUGCCCAGCCUUAACACAACAAUUAAAUUACCCAUUGUUCGCCAAAUAACUACGAGUAAAAACUUAAAAUUUAAAAGACUUGACGGUAUCUCAAAACAACCUAGAGGAGCCUGUCUAAUAACCGAUACUCCACGAUCACCCAACCCGCCCUAGCCUAACAGUCUAUAUACCGCCGUCGGCAGCCUACCUUGUGAAAGAAACAAAGUGAGCAAAAUAGUCACACACUAAUACGACAGGUCGAGGUGUAACUUAUGAGCGGGACAAAGAUGGGCUACAUUUUCUUAAUACAGAAAACACGGAUAAAUCUAUGAAAUAGAAGCUGAAGGCGGAUUUAGCAGUACAGUGGGAAUAACAUACCCAAUAGAAACUAACGCAAUGAGGUGCGUACACACCGCCCGUCAUCCCUGUCAACAUAACCAAAAAAAUUCAUAAACACAAACAACCACCCAAAGCAGGGCAAGUCGUAACAUGGUAAGCGUACUGGAAAGUGCGCUUAGAAA
rnacentral:ncRNA from 1 species